GCCUCUGUGGUCUAACGGCUAUGACUUGGCCCUGUCGCGGCCACGACCCGGGUUCAACUCCCGGCAGAGGCG
rnacentral:tRNA from 1 species